UACGUAGGGGGCAAGCGUUGUUCGGAUUUACUGGGCGUAAAGGGCGCGUAGGCGGCGCGUAAAGUCGGACAUGAAAUCAUUAGGCUCAACCUAAUGGCUGUGUCCGAUACUUACGUGCUUGGAGUGCGGGAGAGGCAGCCGGAAUUCUCGGUGUAGCGGUGAAAUGCGUAGAUAUCGAGAGGAACACCGGUGACGAAGGUGGGUUGCUGGACCGACACUGACGCUGAGGCGCGAAAGCUAGGGGAGCAAACGGG
rnacentral:rRNA from 1 species